rnacentral:rRNA from 1 species
CAGCAGCCGCGGGAAUACAGAGGGUGCAAGCGUUAAUCGGAAUUACUGGGCGUAAAGCGCGCGUAGGCGGUUUGUUAAGUUGGAUGUGAAAUCCCUGAGCUCAACUUAGGAACUGCAUUCAAUACUGGGAAGCUAGAGUAGGGGAGAGGAUGGUAGAAUUUCCUGUGUAGCGGUGAAAUGCGUAGAGAUCUGAAGGAACACCAAUGGCGAAGGCAGCCAUCUGGGCUCAUACUGACACUGAGGUACGAAAGCAUGGGGAGCAAACAGGAUUAGAUACCCCCGUAGUCCCUGUCUCUUAUAC